GAUGAAGAACGUAGCGAAAUGCGAUAAGUAAUGUGAAUUGCAGAAUUCAGUGAAUCAUCGAAUCUUUGAACGCACAUUGCGCCCGCCAGUAUUCUGGCGGGCAUGCCUGUUCGAGCGUCAUUUCAACCAUCAAGCCCCAGGCUUGUGUUGGGGACCUGCGGCUGCCGCAGGCCCUGAAAACCAGUGGCGGGCUCGCUGUCACACCGGGCGUAGUAGAUUUUAUCUCGCUCAGGGCGUGCUGCGGGUUCCGGCCGUUAAAAAGCCUUUUUUACCCAAGGUUGACCUCGGAUCAGGUAGGAAUACCCGCUGAGCUUAAGCAUAUCAAUAAGCGGAGGA
rnacentral:misc_RNA from 1 species